AAACAGGAGUUGUGAAAGAGAAUAAAAUAACAUUUACUGAGGAGGAUUUAUUUAUUUAUUUUUUAUCUAAAAAUGUUUUUAUCGUGUUCUUGCUGUAGUUCGGUUCUAACUGGAUUUAGGAAGAUGACUUUCUGGUUUAAAUCUGGAAGAUAUAUAAAGAACCAGGCUUUUAUUCUUUAUUAUUUUUUUCACAACUCUACAUUUGAAAGAUGAGCCAUUCUUCGUGUUGGGUCUGUUUUUACUCUUUCCUUUUGUGAAAGACAAAAGUUUUCUGAAAGGCUCAUUGAGUACAGGCCAACAGCAAGAAAAGGAAAAUGGCACUAAAAUAUGAAGAUUCACUCUUGGAAAAUGUCCUGGUUCCUGAUUUUGGUAACACUAUGCAUCCAAGGAAAGGCAGAUUUCACCUGCUUCAGCUCCAAUUCCUCAGAGGCUAAAGACAUUAGCCUCGUCUUCGACAAACACCAUGAUAUGACGAACUUAUGGGAGCGAAACACGUCAGCUGGAGCGCUGGGUCGCUGUGACUUCUCCUCCAUCUUCUCCUCUAAGCUCCGUGUGCCUCUGGGGCUCAUCCAGACCAGAAACCGUCCUCCUGGUUUUAUGGAACCUGACAGGCAGUGAGGAGAUAAAGAUGGAGGGAGAAAAUGGAAAACUCUUCUUCAACAAGAUCGACUGUCCUCGAUCCGAACCCAUCAGCACCACUGCAGCUGUAACAAAACCGGAAUCUGAACCAAAUAACCAAAGAGGAAGGAUCGGAGUCUUCAUUUCUCUGGGCUGCUUCUUCACUGUCCUUCUCCUCCUCCUCAUCACCUGGUUGGCACGGAAACGUCAGAAGUCCCCAGGUGAGCGUUUCAGUCUCAGAGUUUCUCUUCGUAACAUCAGAUCAGCUGAACACUAAUCUCUGUUUCCCUGAACCUUUUGGUUCUUCAGAGUCCAGUUGAUGGAUCCAACGGCGUCGUUUGGUACAGCAAACAUUCUGCACCGAUCAAUACACCAAGAAAUGGAUCUGUUGCUUAAAUGACCACUUCCUAUCCAAAACAGCAGUCAAGCUGCUAGAUGUCUGCAGACCUUUGACCUCCUGAUCCAGCCUGAAGUAUUUCUUACUAUCUUCUGCCUUUUUCUACCUUUUAUAGAAUUUUUAACCAAACUAUAAAUACUUUGCACAUUAUUUUUAUAUUUAGAUAUAGACAUAAAGCUACAGACUUUCAUAAGAAGGAAAACAAUUCACUUUAUAAUUGUUACAGAUUUUUACUAAAUGAUGCAGUAAGUUGAACAGUUGCAGCAUUACGCCUCAGGUUGAUAUGUGAACCUCAGCUUUGAACCAGAUCAAUGGACUUUCUGGUUCCUUCAGCUUUAAUAUUUAUUAUUUUGGAUCAAAGUUUUAAUCUGACGAUGCACUAAAACAAAAAAACUGAAUAAUUAGAAUGAAGCUGGAAUGAAACAGAUUUUUAAAAUCAUGCUGUCUGAUGUGAACUGAAAACAGGAAUAUACAUGAUGUGCAAAGACUUCUACAGUAAAAUAUAAUAUAUGGAUAUGUUUUUAGGAUUUUAACAUGUUUUUCUGUUCCAUUUUGUACUUUUUUUGUAUAUUUUUAUUAAUAUUGCUCAGGGAUUUUAAUGGGUCUUUGCUUUCACUGAAUUAAGUAUUUUGAUGAAGAAACUAUUAAAUAUUUAAAACCUCAAA